GCCUCGGGACGCAGCAGUAGGGAAUAUUGCUCAAUGGGGGAAACCCUGAAGCAGCAACGCCGCGUGGAGGAUGAAGGUUUUCGGAUUGUAAACUCCUUUUGUUAGAGAAGAUAAUGACGGUAUCUAACGAAUAAGCACCGGCUAACUCCGUGCCAGCAGCCGCGGUAAUACGGAGGGUGCAAGCGUUACUCGGAAUCACUGGGCGUAAAGAGCGCGUAGGCGGGAUAGCAAGUCAAGGGUGAAAUCCCCGCGCUCAACGUGGGAACUGCCUUUGAAACUGGCAAACUGGAGUGUGUGAGAGGAUA
rnacentral:rRNA from 1 species